rnacentral:lncRNA from 1 species
AUAGGAACAAAAAAUGCAUCAUCAUAAUAUGUAUAAGAAACUUAGUUUCUAUAGAACUAAACACACACAGCAGUUGUGGUUUUUUUACAAUUUAUUAUGGCUAACGCUUUCGGUAAACAAUUUUUUACCAUCUUCAGGCCUUCGACAAAGAACAUAUACAAUAACGGUUACGAAUUUACGAACAAACGAGCUAGAAUACAAAUUAUUGCCAUGGUAACGUUGAGAGUUAAUUAAUAAACAAAAAAAAUGAAAUUACUAAAAAUAACUAAACAACUAAAAUAACUUAAUAACUAAAAAUAACUAAAUAGCUAAAAUAAAUAAAUAUAGGUGCAUAUUGCGUAGUAUCGCUGCGGCGGAUUCUUCUCUGUGCGCAAAAAACAGUGUCCAAUACAGCGAAAAAUAUAUGGCUAUAUUGUGCUAGUAUAAUAGUUCAGAGUCUGUAUUAUUGGAAAGGGGGUGCGACUUUAGUCGUAGCGUUCAAAUAGGUGUGUUCUACUUCUUCUGUUCGGCAAGUGGAUAUUGCCAGGCAGGGGGAGAGGUGUGUUCUACUUCCUCUGUUCUAC